AGCGUGGGCGUAGAGCGUUGUCGUUUGAGCCAGCAAACACUGCAAGAGAAAGAAUGGAUAAGCCUAACAAGAAAAAGAGAAAAAAGACCACACCGGGGACAUUGAGAGGAUGGGAUGGGACAAGGCUGGGCUUAAAGCAGAGGUUGAGGCGUACCAGGGUGGUCAUCUUAUCAAUUACAGUGCUCUAGCUAGGAAGUAUAAUGUGACAGACAGCAGUGGACAAGUUGCACUUAACGGCGGACAGAUUGUGAAGGAGUGGCUAGUGAGCAACAGAGUAGAUGUUGACCGGUUUAGUACCAAACGCAAAAACCCCAUGGAUUCAGUAAUUAGAAGAAGGAAAAGGAGAAGGCAAGGGGGAGAGAUCAGCAUACCCUGUAAGCCAGACAAGAAAACACUGAAAGCACAGCUAUUGCAGAAAAUCCACACAAAGGAGUACAGUAUAGGAGAACGGAUUGUACCACGAAAGUAUGAAAAGCUUAUCCUUACAAAGGAUCUGAAAAUAAAAAAGAAAAAUGCCCCUUGCCAAUAUCCGAAGGUCAAUGUUAAAAAAAAAAAAAACAGGAGAAGUUUCUCCGGGGGACAACAGAUGAAGGAAUAGCAGAGCUUACAGCAGAACAGCUAAGAACAAGGCUUUUGCAGAUCAACGAGUAUGUGGAUGGUAUGGCAGUCCCAGAUAUGAGGGAGAAGCUAAAAAACCAUGAAAGAACAAGGCAUCUGAUGGUAUGGCUAGAUAACUCAACAGUUAUCUGGAUAUCUGGUGUGCCUUAUGACCUGUCUUUAUGACAAGGCAAUGUUCCUUACAGAUGAGGAGUAUGCUGCAAAAUAUGGAAGACGGGUUAAUGUGCAAAUGCUGGUUGAAGAACCAGAGCUCCAUUUUAUUGCAAAAUGUGGUAGCUCUGGCCAUGAGCUUUUAUUAUAUUCGGAGACAAGGCUCCAAUGUGUCAGAGAGCUGUGUGAUGACAACAGUAUUUCAUACACUGAUAUCAUGAGGUUUCGUCAGGGAGACUCUCCAUUGCGAGCUUUUGAGACAGAACAACAGAAAGGAGGAAACGACUUCUGUUCUUCCUGUGAAGUACACUGUGACAUGACCAGCGACUUGGCCUACACUCUGAAUUUGGAGGCCAUAUCCCUUACUAAGAGAUAACAGGAAAUUCUUCGGGGGACCGUCUCCCUCUCUAAAUCAAAACAGAAAAAACUAAACCACUGGAAGAAGAGCUUGAAAGGGAACUAACAUCAAGGGGCAUUUAUGAAGGAAAAACGAAAAUAGAGAUGCAGAAACUACUCACUGAAGAAAUGAAAGGAAAACAAAGAGUGCCUGCACUUCUCUUUAAUACCCCAACAGAAUCCCUGACCAACCUUAAUCUAGAACCUUAUGAAGUCAUACCAUGCGAGCCUCUUCAUGAUCUUGGCAAUCACACUGCAAAUUUCUUUGCUGAAUUUCCAAGCCAUCUGAUGGCUGAAAAAAAGACUUUGAUAGAGGAGACAAUCACACUCAGUCUGGCAGGGAAAGACAGCAAGAGAUGUGUGGACCAAAGGGAAGCCCUUAUAAAAACUGCUGGGGUGGCACACCAGUCCAAUAUCAUGUCCAAGAAAGCCAUGGCUGCCAUUGACACCUUGGUCGAGAUGCAGAGACUCCACUACGCGGCAGACAGCCAAAGAUCUCCGGCCUCAAUUCUUAGAUAAAGCAACCAAGCCUGGUACCAUUCCAUAUUGUUGAUAGAUUUUGUGAAGGACACAAAGAAGCUAACCUCAAGAAAACUGUAUGGAGUGUACUUUCAUAACCUGACAGCCCAUGCUAUCAGUACAUUGAGCUUAAUGUCUGGACAAGCUGCUAAUGCAGAACGAGAAAGGAUCUUUAACAAGAAAGGAUCUUUAACAGUAUCAAGCGCAUCACGAAGCAGACAUCGAAUUACCAUCAAGGGCAAAUAAUACCUAACCUCUUCAUCCGCUUGCAAGCAGAGCGCCAGAUAGGCCUGCAACGAGAUGAUGUGUUUAGACAGCAAGACCAUGUAAGCUACUUGCCUCCUAUCUCCCAAGAACACUGUCAUACCUGAGGAGCUCAUUCAAAGGCAUAGCCAUGCAUGGCAAAGUCACCUCCAAGAAAUAAGUGACUUCUUAGUUGAAGGAGAAGGUGUUUGGUGGAAGAAAGUUGAAGAUGGUUGUGGGCCCUCUCUUCACCACUUUCGAUCCAGCAACUUGAAAAAAGAGGCUGAGAGACUCGACAAUUGCUGGAAACAUAGCUAGCAGCAUCCCCCUCCCUACUCACCUCCUAAGAAUCGACCAAGAAGAUGGGACAACACUACGAAUAAGAAUUGACCCAGAAUCAGUUCCUGCUGACAAAA